AAAAAAAUUCGACGAAAAAUUCCAAUAUUACUAUCGUAAUCCUGGACUAUACUUUUAUUAUCUGUAACAUUCAAAUAUAUGAUACGAAAAUUUACAGUUUUUAAAAGAUUUUUUACUAUUCACUAUCGUAAUUUCAUUAAGAGUUUAUUGUAAUCAAUUCAAUAAGAAAUAUUACAAUGUUACUAUCGUAAAUAGUAAAAGAAUAAAAAAUAAGAUUUAAUUAUACUAUUUAUUCUUUUAUUCUUCCUUUUAAUUUACAGUGCUGCCUCUAUGUUUUUACAAUACAAGCUACAAAAAUUACGAUAGUUGGAUUGUAAAUUUUCUGAAAUGGUAUAGUAUAUGCCAUCUGAAGCGUUUACGUAUGAAAGACAAGUGUUGUCACAAACCAUGAUGUGAUGCUUGUAUGAGUGUAUAUAUAUAUAUAAAUACAAAUGAUGACAUCUACUUUGUCUGUAUUAUUUGUGGUUCAACUAUAUAUAUUUAUAAAUCAGUUCAUCUUUAUCCACAGUGUAGUGCAGAAAUAGAGGUUAUUAUUCAUGACGUUUUUCGGACAAUUGUAAAUAAGAAAUUUAAAAUAAAAACUGUACUUUCGUCAUUACAAACCUACAUAGAUUGUGGAAUAUAAUAAUUUGGUGGUGAUAAUCUUCAUUUGUCGACAAUGAAUAAUUUUACCCGGCUUUGCGAGAGGUAAAACAUUUCAAUAACCUCAAAUUAUGGACAUUCAACAUUUCUUUAUGAUACUGAAGUUAGCAGACGCCUAACAAUUUUUGGAUUUUUUUAAAAAUGAUAAAUUAUAGAAAAAAAGUAUUCGAAAAAAUUGCACCUAUGGUUUUUUUAAUUUUCUACAUGUGCGUAUUUUGAAUACAAAUAAAUGAGUUAUUUAUUCAUAAAUUUUAUAUAUACCAAAAAAAUAUGUUUGAAAAAAUAUUAAAUAAAUGUUUUAUUAUUACUACUUCAA